AUUGAACGCUAGCGGGAUGCCUUACACAUGCAAGUCGAACGGCAGCACGGACUUCGGUCUGGUGGCGAGUGGCGAACGGGUGAGUAAUGUAUCGGAACGUGCCUAGUAGCGGGGGAUAACUACGCGAAAGCGUAGCUAAUACCGCAUACGCCCUACGGGGGAAAGCAGGGGAUCGCAAGACCUUGCACUAUUAGAGCGGCCGAUAUCGGAUUAGCUAGUUGGUGGGGUAAYGGCUCACCAAGGCGACGAUCCGUAGCUGGUUUGAGAGGACGACCAGCCACACUGGGACUGAGACACGGCCCAGACUCCUACGGGAGGCAGCAGUGGGGAAUUUUGGACAAUGGGGGAAACCCUGAUCCAGCCAUCCCGCGUGUGCGAUGAAGGCCUUCGGGUUGUAAAGCACUUUUGGCAGGAAAGAAACGUCAUGGGCUAAUACCCCGUGAAACUGACGGUACCUGCAGAAUAAGCACCGGCUAA
rnacentral:rRNA from 1 species